rnacentral:rRNA from 1 species
GUUCAGAUUGCAGGCUGCAACUCGCCUGCAUGAAGUCGGAAUUGCUAGUAAUCGCAGAUCAGCAUGCUGCGGUGAAUACGUUCCCGGGCCUUGUACACACCGCCCGUCACACCAUGAGAGUCGGGAACACCCGAAGUCCGUAGCCUAACCGCAAGGGGGGCGCGGCCGAAGGUGGGUUCGAUAAUUGGGGCGAAGUCGUAACAAGGUAGC